rnacentral:tRNA from 1 species
GUUUUUUAUCAAUGGGCUAAAAUUAUACAUAAUAAACUUAAAAUCGCUCGCUCGUAAGGGCGUGCCGGUUCGAUUCCGGCCGGGGCCACCA